UUGGUUAUGCUAACAGAGAAAGUUAAAGUGAUGGUUCGGAGUAAUUUCAUCCUAGGGUCUUUUGCACCAUGACCUUGAGCCAAACAACCCCCCAGAAGCUUUUUUCACCUGGGUCAAACAUUGGGCGAGUUAAUGUUCUCAGCUUAGUGCAGGCGCUAAUGGAACUAACUGUAUCUCGUAAAUUACCCCACUAAUAAUGGCCAAAAUGAUACCCAACUUCUACAGCAGUACAAAUAGGUAAUGUACUCAUAAAAUGAUGGAUUGGAAAGUUUGAAAGUACACUGGGAGUUUAUUUAAAUAACACUUGCCCGCUGGCUUCUGCUCUCUGCUGCUAUCAGCAGUAAGACGAGUGCUUAGGGACGUCUACAAAUUACACC